UGCAUCCCGGGGAGGGCGACCGGUCACCUGGGCUGGGAGGGCGGCGCAGGGGCGGAAGCGGCGGUCCGGGACAGUCUGGCUCUGCAGCCUCUCCCCGCCGCGGUCCGUCUAGUCCCUCCCUGGCGGCUGCGGAGCCCUCCCAGGACAGAGACCACAAACUCUCCAGAGCGGGAAGCCGUGUCCUGGCAAGGCUGCCACAGGGACCUCUCGAGAUCCGAACCGCUCAGACCUGGCGGCCACUGGCGGCUGACCCACUGCGCGGGUUUCCGUAGAGCUCGCUGUCCACCCGGCGCUGCGGCCUCGGCUCUUGCGUAUCUUCUCUCACUUUCAGGCAAGCCCAGGAAAGUCAGGGGCCUGCGUGAACCAAAGAGGAGAGAAGGCGAUGACCUCAGCCCAGUGUUUCUGCCUCACCUGGCUUAUGGCCUUGGGGACUUGAUUUGCACUGCAGGAAAAUGGGCAAUGAAAGCCCCUCCCUGACUGGCUUCUCACUCCACUCUGCCCAGCCCACAGUACAGUGCCCACCCUGCAGCUCCUGAUGAGGCCUCACUUUGUCACCCAGAUUGGGGUGGAGUGGCACAGUCACAGCUCACUAUAACCUCAAACUCCUGGGCUCAAGUGAUCCUGCCACCUCAGCCUCCUAAGUGGCUGGGACUACAGGUGUGCACCGCAAUGCCAGGCUUGUCUAACAUUUUUAUGUGUUGCUUCAUCCAGUUUGCUAGAGUUUUUGGAGAUUUCUGUCUUUAUUCAUGAGAGAUAAUAGUCUGCACAUUUAUUUUCUUGUGAUGCUUUCAUCUAAUUUGUUAUCUGGGUAAUACUGGCCUCAAAAAUGAAUUGAUGUUUUCCUGCUUC